AAACCAAAAUUUAUCACGGAACAAUAUAACGAAUUCAAAUCUAUCACAAAACAGUAUAACGAAUUCAAAAGGAAUUAACGAAUUCACAUAAUCAACCCCAAAAUCGAAAGCAAAAUAGUAGAAUUUACAAGGAUUUUAAAAACAAUUCAAUCAUUAAAUCUCAAACAAAAUUCAAAUUCGAAGCAUCAACAAAUGUCAAAUUGUCGAUUGAAUCAAUAUCACGAAUCACAUAAGCAACAACAAAAUCGAAAACGAGACAUUUAGGCUAAAAUUACAAAUUCGAAAUCGAUUCCAUGAGAGAAAAACAAACAUGGGGAAAACAAGAGAUUGAAAUGAAGACUGAGACGGUGAAAUCGAUAACACGAAUCCGACAAUCUCCGACGGCCACGACGCAAUGCGACAGCGACAAUUAAAACAAUCUCCGACGGCGAUGACAGACGAAGAAUACAUAUGACAUCAAUUGAAAUUAGAUCGAUUAGUCUCUGUAGUUCACUAAGGGUAUUUUGGGGAUAAAAUAAUUAGGUGGGGUAGAAAUAAAAAUGGCUAAAAAAUGGGUAAAGUUUAAAAGGAGCAUCAUGAAAAGGGCAUUAGAAAGAAUUUUACAUAAUUAUAUAAU
rnacentral:sRNA from 1 species